GUGGGUACCUAGAGUACGUACAGAGNGCUCGUAAGUAACGGUAACUGGGGCU
rnacentral:rRNA from 1 species